GACGAACCGUGCAAACGUUGUUCGGAAUCACUGGGCUUAAAGGGCGCGUAGGCGGGCAAGCAAGUCCGGGGUGAAAUCUUUCGGCUCAACCGGAAAAGUGCCUUGGAUACUGCUUGUCUGGAGGGAGGUAGGGGCAUGUGGAACUUCUGGUGGAGCGGUGAAAUGCGUUGAUAUCAGAAGGAACGCCGGUGGCGAAGGCAGGUCUCUGGGCUGACACUGACGCUCAUGCACGAAAGCGUGGGGAGCAAACAGG
rnacentral:rRNA from 1 species